AUGAACGCUAGCGGCAGGCUUAACACAUGCAAGUCGAGGGGCAGCACGAGGUAGCAAUACUUUGGUGGCGACCGGCGCACGGGUGCGUAACGCGUAUGCAACCUACCUUUAACAGGGGCAUAACACUGAGAAAUUGGUACUAAUUCCCCAUAACAUUCGAGAAGGCAUCUUCUUGGGUUAAAAACUCCGGUGGUUAAAGAUGGGCAUGCGUUGUAUUAGCUAGUUGGUGAGGUAACGGCUCACCAAGGCAACGAUACAUAGGGGGACUGAGAGGUUAACCCCCCACAUUGGUACUGAGACACGGACCAAACUCCUACGGGAGGCAGCAGUGAGGAAUAUUGGUCAAUGGACGCAAGUCUGAACCAGCCAUGCCGCGUGCAGGAAGACGGCUCUAUGAGUUGUAAACUGCUUUUGUACUAGGGUAAACGCUUCUACGUGUAGGAGCCUGAAAGUAUAGUACGAAUAAGGAUCGGCUAACUCCGUGCCAGCAGCCGCGGUAAUACGGAGGAUCCAAGCGUUAUCCGGAUUUAUUGGGUUUAAAGGGUGCGUAGGCGGUUUGAUAAGUUAGAGGUGAAAUACCGGGGCUCAACUCCGGAACUGCCUCUAAUACUGUUGAACUAGAGAGUAGUUGCGGUAGGCGGAAUGUAUGGUGUAGCGGUGAAAUGCUUAGAGAUCAUACAGAACACCGAUUGCGAAGGCAGCUUACCAAACUAUAUCUGACGUUGAGGCACGAAAGCGUGGGGAGCAAACAGGAUUAGAUACCCUGGUAGUCCACGCCGUAAACGAUGGAUACUAGGUGUAGGGGGUUUAACACCUUCUGUGCCGGAGCAAACGCAAUAAGUAUCCCGCCUGGGGAGUACGAUCGCAAGGUUGAAACUCAAAGGAAUUGACGGGGGCCCGCACAAGCGGAGGAACAUGUGGUUUAAUUCGAUGAUACGCGAGGAACCUUACCCGGGCUUGAAAGUUAGUGACGAUUCUGGAAACAGGAUUUCCCUUCGGGGCACGAAACUAGGUGCUGCAUGGUUGUCGUCAGCUCGUGCCGUGAGGUGUCGGGUUAAGUCCCAUAACGAGCGCAACCCCUACCGUUAGUUGCCAUCAGGUCAAGCUGGGCACUCUGGCGGGACUGCCGGUGUAAGCCGAGAGGAAGGUGGGGAUGACGUCAAAUCAGCACGGCCCUUACGUCCGGGGCUACACACGUGUUACAAUGGUAGGUACAGAGGGCCGCUACCCCGCGAGGGGAUGCCAAUCUCGAAAGCCUAUCUCAGUUCGGAUCGGAGGCUGAAACCCGCCUCCGUGAAGUUGGAUUCGCUAGUAAUCGCGCAUCAGCCAUGGCGCGGUGAAUACGUUCCCGGGCCUUGUACACACCGCCCGUCACACCAUGAGAGUUGGGGAUACCCGAAGCCUGUGAGCCAACAGUUAAACGAGGCAGCAGUCGAAGGUAGAAUCAAUGAUUGGGGUG
rnacentral:rRNA from 1 species